UAGUGCGAGAUUGGGCUGGAGAGGCCAAGUGAAGAGGAAGGGUGCGGAGUUGACUAGAAGAGCCAAAGAGUAAGGCGGCUGGGGGAGGGGAGAGGAGCACAGAGAGCUCACGCUAAAAAAAGUAAAGGAAAAGGGGAGAGUAACACAGGGCUGGGCGGAAGAGUCCAUUGAGGAAGGAAGGGGAACGCGAGCGCAAACUGAGCAGACGAGAUCUAGGGAAGCACAAUUCGGAUGAAGGAAGCGCACCUGCCACAGGACUGGGUGUCAGCAUGGCCAAAGAGCUAUCAAGAUGGUGAUUAUGGGUGGAUACUGGGAAAAGAGAAAGCCAGGCCCGGACAGAACUGAACCUGUCAUGAGGUGCUAAGACACAGAAGGGACGGGUUCUGGAAGCCCGGACAAGGCCAGACAUCUCCGAUACCUUCUGAAGGGUCGUGGAUCAGACUGACUUCUGGGCUCAGAUCCAACUUAAACACUUGCUACAAGUCAUCUGAGGUGGUGGCCCACGUCUUUAGCAUCAACACUUUGGAGGUGUUUACCCAGAGAAUCGGGAGUUCAAGAUCAGCCUUGGCUGCAUAACUAUGCCCUGAUGACCGGGAUGCUCAACUCAUAAUGAUCUCUCUGAGGACCUGCUGGACCACACAGCUCUCUACCUCAGAGUCAUCUAUCCCAUCCGUCUCUGCCCACACAUCCAGAAUCAGGCAGAAGUACCUGGCUGUCAUGUUCUAAGUCUACACGGAUAUUUGAAACAUUUUCCUUGGACUUGGCAAUAUGUAUCAGCUUUAAAGGUAUCUUAUUGAUAGAUAGGUGCAUAGUGUGAUAAUUUAAAGCAGUGGGUCUCAAAUACUUUUGGGGGUCAAAUGACCUUUUUAUCGAGAUUGCAUGUCAGAUAUCCUGCACAUCAGAUAUUUGCAUUACAAUUCAUAACAGUAGCAAAAUUACAGUUAUAAAGUAGCAAUGAGAAUUUUAUGGUUGGGGGUCACCACAGAGUUCUUGGCAGUGAUACCUGUUUUUAAGACUAUAAAUCUGCAUUCUCCCUUUUUCCCACAAGUAAGCAAUUUGGUACCAAAGGACUCACAUACUUAGUAGAAAGUUAAAAGAGCAACUAAGAGAAUUGUUGUCCCCAACCAAACCUUUAUGAUAUUCUGGGAGAGCUGCCUGGUACAGAGGAGCUGACAACUUCCUUCUCUCAUCACAUGUAUUUCUGAGCCAUUUUCUUAAUGUCAAGAGAAGGGUGUCAUGGGAAGUAUGAGAAGACAAAAUCCAGAACAGGUGGGUCUAUUCUCCCAUCCUGCACAGUCGCUUUGUCAACAGAGAAUCCUACCAGGUAAAAGGAUAUUAUGAUCCCUGAGAAUACUGAGGAUUGUAAAGAACAGUGGCAGCUCUGCAAGCUGACCCCUUUUCUCACCCCAUCCAUGAACUACCGUAGGUCAGCAACCUCAUGCUCUGCAGCCACUUGAAGGAGGUGUAUUAAUUGUCAUGUUCCAAAGCCUCAGAAAAAUCAGUGGGAAUGAGGGAUUCCAGAAGGAAAAAUCACUUUACACACAAGAGCACUGUAAGUCUGUGUGUGGUGAAUGAUGCCCUGCAGAGGGUGAGCUGGGACCUUACGGAUCUGAGACUGGACCUCACAUAAAGCCCUUAGCAUCACUUCCCCAAAUCUGUGACUGUUGGUAUAAUGUUCUUUUGGAAUGUAUACAACUUACCUUAUUCACUCAAAUACUGAUUUCUCUCCCCCACUGUCUGGUUUCAAUCUGGACAUUGCUUUGUGAUACUUAUUCUAAGCAUCACCUGUCUCAAGUUUGUGUAAACAUGCCACCAUUUGUUCUCUCAAUUGUCAAUUAAAACAACCAGCCACAAUGUUAAGCAAUGGAGAGGAUAGGAUGGGACAUCCUGGUUCAGAGUGGAAGGAGAGGAAGGAGUAGGAGGGAGAGAGGAGGAGAUAAAGGAGAGGAAGGAGUAGGAAGGAGAAGAGGAGGAGAAGCUGGGAGAGUAGAAGCUGGAGGAGAGGUCUUGGAACUACAUGGAGAAAUGAACCAAACCUAAGAUAUCUCUAAAAGCAAGUAUAAUGGGUGAAUCUGAAUGGUAGGAAACUAAGCUGGCUUGGAGGUUUAGGAUGGGGUAACUAUUGCCCAGCAUUGUGUCCUAGGUUAACUAAAUAAAUCCUAGUCUCGGGCUGGAGAGAUGGUUCAACUAUUAAAGGCUAGGCUCACAACCAAAAUAAAUCCUAGUCUCUGUGUGGUUAUUUGGUUAUGCAGCUGUUUAGGAUUAACCUAAAAGAUAUAUCAAUAGUAAAUAGUAAUGAAUAAAUACAACAAAUAGUGCCCAACAUGGGGCACGAACCCAUGACCCUGAGAUUAAGAGUCUCGUGCUCUACCGACUGAGCCAUUAUUUUAAUUGGCAUAGAUAAAAUUGGUUUACAGUUUAGUUUCAUCCUGAACAUCUCAUAUAUUUAUAAUUUUAGAACUGUAUAAUGCUUGUGAGAAAUUAUAUGUUUGCAGGAAAAAAAAAAAAAAAAAGACCAGACACUGGAGAUGCUGGAUCAAACCUGACAGGAUUCAUUCUUCAGCAUGCUGAGACAUUGACAUAGCUGUUCCAGCAUCUUGCAUGUUCCAACAUUCUGAUUGUUCCUGCCUCAACUGCUUCAAUUGUUGUUUCUCAUCAAAGCCUGCUCCCAAGAAAGCUACCAAUCUUAAUUGGUCCAGCAUUUUAGACUGUUCCAAACAGGACUUUUAUUAAGCCUGAAAUUUCUCAACAUUCAAAGACCACAAAUGUUAUUGCUUGCUUAAUUAACCAAUUUUUCCCAAUUUUCUUUGGGCCCCCUAACAUUCUGCAUGUCCAAAAUGUCAGAAGAAACCCAUGAGAACGACAUCCAAUUUUCCUUAAAGGGGGUUGGAUAUGUUUUUGGUUGCUUUCUAUGGCUACAAAUUUUUAUUGUCAUUGGGAGAUGUUUAUAAAUUAUUAAUGGUCUUAAUUCAGAGUGAAACAAGGUUAUACUCAGGGAUUUCUCUCUUCCUUUUUCUUUUUUCUAUCUUUCUUCUUAGAUAAGGAGAAAAGGAGUUAAAAAGAAAGAAAGGAGUGUAUAGAGAUAUCUUAUAGCAAUAAGGCAAGAGGUAGAUUAUUGAAUCUACUCAACUUAGGGUUUUAUUUAUUAUUCUCAAAUAAGGUUAAUUUUUAACUCUAGUAUACGAGUUUGCAAGAAUAAGUCUAUUUUUGAUACAUUGGUAUAAGCUUUAGUAUACUGAUACAAAUUCAAGGUUACUUCCAGUACUUUUAAACUGCUAUUAAAAACUGGUUAGUGUAUUAGGUAAUGCAGUUAAUUGCUAGUUAAUCAACUCAUAGCCAUGUCAGACACUAGUCUAAUUUAUCACAAGAGGAUACAUCCUAGGUUUAACAGAUAGAUAUGAUUUUGUGGACAGACCAAUUAUAUAAGGAUAGGUAGUCUUCAAAAACUUCAGAGACCUACAGAAUAUGGCAUUUAAAAAUGUCUUUAUUAUUUUAAAGAUUCUUUGACAAUGAGACAGGUCAUCUCCUGGCAGCACCCCUCCUACCUCAAAGAAGAUGAUGAGCAUCGAAGAACCUCCAUAUGGAGAUGGCUUCAAAUGUGGCAAACGAGCCACUUGGGUAAACAAAAUACCCUCGCUUCACGACAGACAAAUUCUGCCAAAAAUGGGCAAGCUUAAAUGCAGGACAAGUUGACUGCUGAACUCUGCCAAGACAGGGUAAGCAUGUCCUAAAUAGUUCCUGCUUCAUAUAUAUCUGCCAAAUGUUCUGAGCCAGAAGGCUUAAGAUGAUGCUCCAACGUUAUAGAAAUUAACAGUGACAGUUUGCUGCCUGAACUGUCUAUUUUUUUAUUUUUUUUGGAAGCUGCUGACAUGUACUUCUAUUUACUCUAAUAACUAAUUUUAUUCCUUCUCAAGUCUCUGAUGGGGUUGAAGACUAAAUAGUUAUAGUGCCACAAUUAAGCUUAAGUUGUUUAAAAGUUAAGAAAUGCUUUCAUAUACCAAUGAGGAUAAAAGUUAAUUUAGGUAUAGAACUUUAAACUUGUCAAGAUAGAUAGGAUAAUCAGAUACUUUCUCCUAAGUUGCUAAAUACACAGGGACUGGAUGCACAUGUAGAUUUUACCUAACAGUUUUCAUAAUUUCAUAAUUAUUAUUGUAUUGAAAGAAAAGGAGCCUUUUAUUGGACUUAAAGGGGGAAAUGUUGGUAUAAUGUUUUUUGGAAUAUAUGCACCUUACUGUUGUUCAUUCAAAUGCUGAUUUCUCUCCCCCACUGUCUGGUUUCAAUAUAGACAUUGCAUUGUGAUACUUAUUCUAAGCAUCACCUGUCUCAAGUUUGUGUAAACAUGCCACCAUUUGUUCUCUCAAUUGUCAAUUAAAACAACCAGCCACAAUGCUGAGCAAUGGAGAGGAUAGGAUGGGGCACCCUGGUUGAGAGUGGGAGGAGAGGAAGGAAGCAGGAGGAGAGGAAGGAGUAGGAAGGAGAGGAGGAGGGGAAGCUGGGAGAGCAGUAGCUGGAGGAGAGGUCUUGGAAUUACAUGGAGAAAUGAACCAGACCUAAGAUAUCACUAAAAGCAAGUAUAAUGGGUGAAUCUGAAUGGUAGGAAACUAAGCUGGCUUGGAGGUUUAGGAUAGGGUAACUAUUGCCCAGCAUUGUGUUCUAGGUUAACUAAAUAAA